UACGGAGGGGGUUAGCGUUGUUCGGAAUUACUGGGCGUAAAGCGUACGUAGGCGGAUCAGAAAGUUGGGGGUGAAAUCCCGGGGCUCAACCCCGGAACUGCUCCAAAACUCCUGGUCUUGAGUUCGAGAGAGGUGAGUGGAAUUCCAAGUGUAGAGGUGAAAUUCGUAGAUAUUUGGAGGAACACCAGUGGCGAAGGCGGCUCACUGGCUCGAUACUGACGCUGAGGUACGAAAGUGUGGGAGCAAACAGGAUUCAGAUACCCCGUAGUCC
rnacentral:rRNA from 1 species